rnacentral:tRNA from 1 species
GAGAGAGGCUACUGCUAGCAGCAAAGGCCGCUACCCUUCGCAAACUUCGGUUGGACUCCGACGCUCCCUC